rnacentral:rRNA from 1 species
CAGUAGCCGCGGUAAUACAGAGGGUGCAAGCGUUAAUCGGAAUUACUGGGCGUAAAGCGCGCGUAGGUGGUUCGCCAAGUUGGAUGUGAAAUCCCCGGGCUCAACCUGGGAACUGCAUCCAAAACUGGCGAGCUAGAGUAUGGUAGAGGGUGGUGGAAUUUCCUGUGUAGCGGUGAAAUGCGUAGAUAUAGGAAGGAACAUCAGUGGCGAAGGCGACCACCUGGACUGAUACCGACACUGAGGUGCGAAAGCGUGGGGAGCAAACAGGAUUAGAUACCCCAGUAGUCCCUGUCUCUUAUAC